GUUAUGGAGCUUGAGAGUUACUGUGUGAAUUGUGAACAAAAUGGGAAGACCCGCCUGUUCCUGACAAAGAUUCCAUUCUUUAAGGAGGUGGUUGUUUCCUCUUUUACAUGUGAUAACUGUGGUCUCCAUAACACAGGGCUGCAACCAGGGGGCAAAAUUCAGGAGAAAGGGGUCAAAUAUGUCUGCAAAAUUAACGAUGCUAAAGAUUUAAACAGGCAAAUAGUGCAGACUGAUAAUGCCACUGUGUUGAUUCCCAAACUUGAGUUUGAAGUUCCACCAAAUAAAGGAACAUUGACCACUGUGGAGGGUGUAAUACAGGCCGCAAUUGAUGGUCUGUCUCACGACCAACCAGUCCGCAAAAUCCAGAAUCCUGAGGUUGCCACUCAGAUUGAUACCUUCAUUGAAAAACUAAAUGCCCUAAAAGAGCUGAAAGAACCCUUUGAAAUCAUUUUAGAUGAUCCAAGUGGGAAUAGUUUUAUGGAGAAUCCAUAUGCACCUAGCGUAGACAAGGACAUGACGAUUCACUAUUACGUACGGUCCAGAGAACAAGACGAACAGCUGGGUCUGCUGGAGCAAGAAGAAGCCCAACAAAGCUCAGGAAAAGAAGAAGUCAAGGAGAAUAAAGUGGACAAAGAAAAGAAAAAGGAGGAGUUCUUUGAUGGAAAGUCUGAGGUGGCCACCUUCAGAACUAAUUGUCCAAACUGCAAUGUGCCAUGUGAUACAAAUAUGAAAUUAGUUGAUAUCCCACAUUUUAAAGAAGUUGUGAUCAUGGCCACAGUCUGUGAUGCAUGUGGCCACAAGGACAAUGAGGUAAAGGGAGGAUCAGGAAUCGAACCUAAGGGGACCAAAAUCACCCUCAAAAUCACCGACCCCUCCGACAUGUCCAGAGAUGUCCUAAAGAGUGACACAGCUUCUAUGGCUAUCCCAGAGCUGGAUUUCUGUGCUGAAAUGGGGACCCUGGGAGGGAGGUUCACAACCUUGGAGGGGCUCUUAGAGGGCAUCAAAGAACAGCUGAGUGAUUCCAACCCAUUCUUCAAGGGAGACAGCAGUGAUAAAGAAAGGGCCAGUAAAAUCGAGAUAUUCUGCCAGGAAGUGCAAAAGAUCAUAUCUGGAGAGCGACUAGGAGACCAUUUUAUUCUGGAUGACCCUGCUGGGAACAGCUACCUACAGAAUGUGUACGCCCCAGACCCCGAUCCAGAAAUGACUAUUGAACAGUACGAGAGGACUUAUGAACAGAACGAAGAUUUGGGACUGAACGACAUGAAAACUGAAAAUUACGAGACUUCAUGACCUUUGCACACUUUGCGCCAACAAAAGAACAUAAAACCAGGGCCUCUGUGUCAUUUCAACAGUAAAAUUAUUCGUUGUUCACAUCAGAGGAUGCUACAAACAAAUAAAAUAAGCUGAAUAACUGCAAUGAAAGUUUACAAAACAGCAGGGGGGGGGGGGGUUGGAGUUUUUUUUUUUUUAACCAUUCUUGAUUGAAAGUGCAAGUUUGAUUUGCACAAAGUACAUUCACAAUUGUUUAUUAUGGUUAGUGUAAAAUCAUUGUUUAGAAGCUUUGUAAUUAUGUGUUUAUCAUCGGUACAUGGAUUUUGUCUCUGUCUCCAGAGAGUAAUAAUGCCAUUACAAUAGAAUAAACAUACACUGUAUUCAGAAUUUCUAUUUGACUUUUGCAUCUUUUAUGAAGCUUGUACAAAUUUGCUUGUAAUUAUUAUCAUAACACAUUACUGUGUUCAUGUAUAACAACAAUUAUAUUAAAAAACAUCAUGCAAG
rnacentral:misc_RNA from 1 species